rnacentral:lncRNA from 1 species
AAGGCGGUCAUUGGUCAAGAUGAAUGUUUUAAAUGGCUUGAUGCUAGAGAAGAAGGGUCGGUGCUAUAUGUUUGCCUUGGAAGUAUCUGUAAUCUUCCUCUGUCUCAGCUCAAGGAGCUUGGGUUAGGCUUAGAAGAAUCCCAAAGACCUUUCAUUUGGGUCAUAAGAGGUUGGGAAAAGUAUAAUGAGCUUGCUGAGUGGAUCCUAGAGAGCGGCUUUGAAGAAAGGGUGAAAGAGAGAGGGCUUCUCAUAAAAGGAUGGGCACCUCAAGUGCUUAUCCUUUCACAUUCUUCUGUUGGGGGAUUCUUGACACAUUGUGGAUGGAACUCAACUCUUGAGGGGAUAACCUCUGGUCUCCCACUCCUCACAUGGCCUCUAUUUGCAGACCAAUUCUGCAAUGAGAAACUAGUUGUGCAGGUACUAAAGGCCGGUGUGAAAGCCGGGGUUGAGCAGCCUAUGAAAUGGGGAGAGGAAGAGAAGAUAGGAGUGUUGGUGGAUAAAGAAGGUGUUAAGAAGGCAGUUGAAGAGUUAAUGGGUGAGAGUGAUGAUGCAAAGGAGAGAAGAAGAAGAGCCAAAGAGCUUGGAGAGUUAGCUCACAAGGCUGUGGAAGAAGGAGGCUCUUCUCAUUCUAAUAUCACUUCCCUCUUAGAAGACAUAAUGCAACUAGCACAAUCCAAUAAUUGAUUAUGUCAUUGUUAAAAGAAAUACAAAUAUUUAUACAUUCUUUAUUUGGAGGAUAGGAGACUUAGUCCAACACGUCCAUAAAGUUAGGUUAAACUUCUUUUAAACAUAUCUAAAAACUUUAAUGAACAACUAGAAUUUUUGGUGGAUUCUCAACCAAGUAAAUCAAAUAUAAAUCUGUCAUAUAAGUUUGAUAUCGUCAGCUUCCUUUGGUUUUUGUUCACUCAUUUUCUAUAUUGCUCCUUUUUGCAUUCACCUUUCUAAUCUUUGUUUGAUCUAAUUCUUAAAAGUCUUAUCAUCUCAUUAUCUAUAGAAUCUUUUUCCAUUACCGAACUCAGGAAAGAAACAUUCACACGAAAGUGUUGUAGGCUCUGGACCUAUGUUCUUUUUUUUUAUUGAUUGUGAUUUUUGAGGCUUCUUGAUACAUAUAGCUGUCUUGAAAAGAGUCCAAAGUUGGAUUUAUCUUCUCGUACUGUUUAUAUUGGAUUGGAGUUUAAUCGAUCUUUAAAGUUUCAAACACUUCUCCUUGGGGUUAAAUUAUUAAUUUAGGUGCCUUUAUUGUAACAAUUUAAGGAUUUACAGAACAUGUAGCUAUCAACAGGCCUCCAAGUUGUUGUUUUUGUGUCUGAAUUAUCUUCUUUGUGUAAGGGAAAGUCAUUACAGGAUGCAAGAUAGGGUCGCAAAGGGACAAACUAUGGAUACACAAUCUGUGGACUGUAUUGGAUGUGUUUGUCAAGUAAAAUCUAUUUUACGUCAUGUAUUACGUCUUCUGUUCAGUUUUUUUUUUGCUCUCCACGCAUCUUUGUUCUAUAUAAGCUCUCUCGCUCUCACAAAUAUAAUCCAGAACCAAGACAAAACUUGAGAGUUUAUCAUCAGCAUGGGUUCUGAAACAGCUAAAAAAUCUUAUCCUCUUCACUUUGUUCUCUUCCCUUUCAUGGCUCAAGGCCACAUGAUUCCCAUGGUGGAUAUCGCAAGGCUCUUGGCUCAGCGAGGUGUGACCAUAACCAUUGUCACAACGCCUUACAAUGCAGGGAGGUUCAAGAAUGUUCUAAGCCGUGCCAUUGAGUCAGCUGGCUUGCCCAUCAAGGUAGUGCAUGUGAAGUUUCCAUCUCAAGAAGCUGGUAUGCCAGAGGGAAAAGAAAAUAUAGAUUUGCUCGACUCCAUAGAGAUGAUGAUACCUUUCUUUAAAGCAGUUAACAUGCUCGAAGAACCGGUUCAGAAGCUCAUGGAAGAGAUGAGCCCUCCACCAAGCUGCUUAAUCUCUGACAUGUGUUUGUUUUAUACAAGCAAACUCGCCAAGACGUUCAAUAUACCAAAGAUCCUCUUCCAUGGCAUGUGUUGCUUUGGUCUUCUGUGUAUGCAUAUUUUACGCGAAAAUCUUGAGAUCUUGGAGAGUUUGGAGUCAGACAAAGAGUACUUCACCGUUCCUUAUUUUCCUGACAAAGUUGAAUUCACAAGACCUCAAGUUCCUGUUGAAACAUAUGUUCCUGGAGAGUGGAAGGAGUUCUUGGAUGGAAUUAAAGAAGCUGAUAAGACAUCCUAUGGAGUGGUGGUCAACACAUUUCAAGAACUGGAGCCUGCUUAUGUCAAAGACUACAAGGAAGCAAGGUCAGGUAAAGCAUGGUCCAUUGGACCUGUUUCCUUGUGCAACAAGGUGGGAGAAGAUAAAGCUGAGAGAGGAAAUAAAUCAGAUAUUGAUAAAGAUGAGUGCCUUAAAUGGCUUGAUUCUAAGGAAGGUGGUUCUGUGCUCUACGUUUGUCUAGGAAGUGUCUGCAAUCUUCCUCUGUCUCAGCUCAAGGAGCUUGGCCUAGGCCUAGAAGAAUCUCAAAGACCUUUCAUUUGGGUCAUAAGAGGUUGGGAAAAAUAUAAAGAGCUUGCUGUGUGGAUCUUGGAGAGCGGCUUUGAAGAAAGGGUGAAAGAGAGAGGGCUUCUCAUUAAAGGAUGGGCACCUCAAGUGCUUAUCCUUUCACACCCUUCUGUUGGAGGAUUCUUGACACACUGCGGAUGGAACUCAACUCUUGAGGGGAUAACCUUUGGUCUCCCACUGCUUACAUGGCCGCUAUUUGCUGACCAAUUCUGUAAUGAGAAAUUAGUGGUGGAGGUGCUAAAAGCUGGUGUGAAAGUAGGGGUUGAGGAGCCUAUGAAAUGGGGAGAAGAGGAGAAGAUAGGUAUGUUGGUGGAUAAAAAAGGUGUUAAGAAGGCAGUUGAAGAGUUAAUGGGUGAAAGUGAUGAGGCUAAGGAGAGGAGAACAAGAGCCAAAGAGCUUGGAGAGUUAGCUCACAAGGCUGUGGAAGAAGGAGGCUCUUCUCAUUCUAAUAUCACAUUACUGUUAGAAGACAUAAUGCAACUAGCACAAUCCAAUAAUUGAUUCAUGUCAUUGUUAAAAGAAAUAGACAUUUAUACAUUAUUCUUCAUUUACUUUAUUUGGAGGUUAUGAGACUUAGUCCAACACGUCCAGCAGAAGACAAGUCAGUGAUAAUAACUUUCCCUUUUUGAAGUCAAGUUCAGAAGUUAGGUUAAACUUCUUUUUAAACAUAUCUAUAAACUUUUAUGAACAACUAGAAUUUUGGUUGAUUCUAAACCAAGUAAUCAAUAUUGUCAUAUAAAAUUUGAUAUUGUCAGCUUCCUUUUAUUUGUUCACUUUCACCUUUCUAAUAUCUGUUUGAUAUAUUCUUAGAAGUGUAAUCAUGUAAUUAUUUGUAGGGAAAUUGGUCAAAUGUUUAUAUUUCUUUUAACAUUAGACUUGGCUAUUAAGAAGCAACAAAAAUCUACAUAUUCAAAAGAGGAGGUCAUGAAAAUAUAUAAGUAAAAGCUUGAUUUAACAGUUUUCAAUUUUUUUUUGUUUUAUUUUUUCUUUUAAAGUCGAGAAAAACAUUUUCGAGUCAACAUUUAUAAUAAUAAAAUACACUCAUGUUAAACUGUAUUUUAUUUAAGAAAAACAAUAUUUGUAACAUCUAUUUAUAAAUUUAAACAAAUAUAUAUUAAAAUAACUUAAUUAGUUCUUGGAUUGUGUUAAUUGCGAUAUGUCUUGUAAGAGGAAUGUGAUGUUAGAAUGAGAAGAGCCUCCUUCAUCCACAGCCCUGUGAGCUACCUUUCCAAGCUCUUUGACUACUCGUCUUCUCUCUUUUGCAUCAUCACCAUCACCCAUCAAUUCGUCAACUGCCUUCUUCACUCCUUCGUUAUCCACCAACACUCCUAUUUUAUCCUCUUCUCCCCAUUUCAUAGUUUCUUCAAUCCCAGCUCCUACACCGACUUUAAGAACCUGCACAACCAGUUUCUGGUUGCAGAACUGGUCUCCAAACAAUGGCCAUGUGAGCAAUGGAACACCUGAGGUGAUUCCUUCUAGAGUCGAGUUCCAUCCACAAUGAGUCAAGAAUCCUCCAACAGAAGGGUGUGAAAGGAUAAGCACUUGUGGUGCCCAUCCUUUUAUGAGAAGCCCUCUCUCUUUGACCCUUUCUUCAAAACCGCUCUCUAAGAACCACUCAGCUAGCUCAUUAUACUUUUCCCAACCUCUAAUGACCCAAAUAAAAGGUCUUUGGGAUUUCUCUAGGCCUAUCCCUAGCUCCUUUAGCUGAGACAGAGGAAGAUUGCAAAUACUUCCAAGGCAAACAUAUAGAACGGACCCUUCUUCUUUAGAAUCAAGCCAUUUAAAACAUUCUUCUUGAUCAAUCACCGCCUUGUUUCCCCUCUCGGCUUUGUCAGCUCCUUUCUUGUUGCACAAGGAAACAGGUCCAAUGGACCAUACUUUCCCAUCUCUAGCCUCUUUGUAAUCUUUGACAUAAGCAUCCUCUAACUCCUGAAAUGUGUUGAUUAUUACACCAUAGGAUGUGGUUUCUGCUUCUGCCAUUGCAUCCAAGAACUCCUUCCAGUCUCCAGUUGCAUUGAUUCUCACUGGAACUUGAGGCUUUGUGAAUUCAACUUUGUCAGGAAAAUUAGGAACAAGGAAAUACUCCUUUUCCGACUUCAAAUUCUGCAAGAUCUCUAGGUUUUGGCGUAAAACAUGCAUACACAAAAGGCAAAAGCAAGAGAAUCCAUGAAAAACGAUCUUUGGUAUAUUGAAGGCCUUGGCGAUUUUGCUUGUAUAAGGCAAACACAAAUCACAUAUUAGACAGCUUGGUCUUGGUUUCAUCUCUUCAACUAGCUUCAUGACCGGCUCUUCGAGCAUGUUAACCAUUUUAAAGAAAGGUACUAUCAAAUCCUUGGAGUCAAGCGAAUCCAUGUUCUCUUUUCCUUCUGGCAGCCCAGCUUCUUGGUAUGGAAGCUUCACAUGCACUACGUUGAUGGGCAAACCAGACUCCAUGGCACGGUUUAAGACAUUCUUGAACCUCUCUGCGUUGUCAGGCGUCGUGACAAUUGUUAUGGUCACGCCGCGCUGAGCCAGGAGCCUUGCGAUAUCGACCAUGGGAAUCAUGUGGCCUUGAGCCAUGAAAGGGAAGAGAACAAAGUGAAGAGGUGGAUGAGCUUGUUGAGGUUUUUGGGAAGCCAUACUUGUUUCAAAUCAGUGAAGAACUUUCGAGUUUUGUUUUUGACUAUAUGGUGGAUAAGAGGAGUGGGAAUAAAAAUGGCUUCACCAAAAUGAUGUAGUAGAUGACGUAAAACCGUACUUUAAAGACAGAUUAUUACGUUCAAGAAGACACAAAUCAAAUUGAACUCUCUCUCUCUCUCGGACAUUACCAAAAUCAAUUUGUCUUUGAAAAUUCAACGUUCAGUUCAAAGUCUCCUAAUCUAAGCUUGGCCCACGGAAAUAACUAUCAGAGGCAGCAAAAAUCAAAUUCAAUGGACUAACAUGUUAUUCUAGGAUUCGUGUCUAACAUAUUAUUAUAUGACAAGACUUUCUAUGUAACGAAUAUACUUUUCUUAUAUAUAAUAUAUUGAAAACUGAAAAAGAAUCUAGCUAAUCAAAAACUAUUGCAUAACAUUAUAUUUAGUGUAAUUUGUAUGAUAUUAUUAGACAGCUUGGUCUUGGUUUCAUCUCUUCAACUAGCUUCAUGACCGGCUCUUCGAGCAUGUUAACCAUUUUAAAGAAAGGUACUAUCAAAUCCUUGGAGUCAAGCGAAUCCAUGUUCUCUUUUCCUUCUGGCAGCCCAGCUUCUUGGUAUGGAAGCUUCACAUGCACUACGUUGAUGGGCAAACCAGACUCCAUGGCACGGUUUAAGACAUUCUUGAACCUCUCUGCGUUGUCAGGCGUCGUGACAAUUGUUAUGGUCACGCCGCGCUGAGCCAGGAGCCUUGCGAUAUCGACCAUGGGAAUCAUGUGGCCUUGAGCCAUGAAAGGGAAGAGAACAAAGUGAAGAGGUGGAUGAGCUUGUUGAGGUUUUUGGGAAGCCAUACUUGUUUCAAAUCAGUGAAGAACUUUCGAGUUUUGUUUUUGACUAUAUGGUGGAUAAGAGGAGUGGGAAUAAAAAUGGCUUCACCAAAAUGAUGUAGUAGAUGACGUAAAACCGUACUUUAAAGACAGAUUAUUACGUUCAAGAAGACACAAAUCAAAUUGAACUCUCUCUCUCUCUCGGACAUUACCAAAAUCAAUUUGUCUUUGAAAAUUCAACGUUCAGUUCAAAGUCUCCUAAUCUAAGCUUGGCCCACGGAAAUAACUAUCAGAGGCAGCAAAAAUCAAAUUCAAUAGACUAACAUGUUAUUCUAGGAUUCGUGUCUAACAUAUUAUUAUAUGACAGACUUUCUAUGUAACGAAUAUACUUUUCUUAUAUAUAGUAUAUUGAAAACUGAAAAAGAAUCUAGCUAAUUAAAAACUAUUGCAUAACAUUAUAUUUAGUGUAAUUUGUAUGAUAUAUCAUAUUGUAAUACAUAUCUUUUAAAAUAUUUGAUGACUUGAAUGAAUAAUUUUUGUUUUUAAUUAAAAGCAUCAUAUGUGAAAACUUCUAUAAAUAAGUAUAUAUUGUUUGCUCUUUCUCAUUAACCGAUUAAUAAAAGUGAUUUAUUAGUAUAUGUUGUGAUAAUAAGGAAAGCUUUUUUAUUUUUUUAUUUCUUUGGUUAUAUACUUAAUUAUGUUUUUUUGUCAUUCAGCUCUAUUUCCCUUGCUUUAUUUAUAAUUGGAGACUUCGUCAGCAAGUCCAGCAGAAGACAAGUCAAUGAUAAUAACUUUCACUUUCUGAAGUCAAAUUCCGAAAGUCAGCUUAAAUUUCUUUUAGGCAUAUCUUAAAACUUUUAUAAAUGAAUAACUAAAACUAAUACCAAUCGUGCAGGUUCUUGAAGAGGUUAUGAAAUGGGGAGAAGAGGAGAAGAUAGGCGUGUUGGUGGAUAAUGAAGGUGUGAAGAAGGCUGUGGAAGAAUUGAUGGGUGAUGGUGAUGAUGCUAAGGAGAGAAGAAGAAGAGCCAAAGAGCUUGGAAAGUUGUCUCACAGGGCUAUGUAUGAAGGAGGCUCUUCUUAUUCUAACAUCACAUUCCUCUUACAAGACAUAUCGUAGUUAGCACAAUCCAAGAAUUGAUUACGUCAAUAUUUUCUUAAAGCUAAGAAAAAAUGUUACCAAUAAUGUCAUUCUUAAGAAACUAUAGUUUAUCAUUCUUCUAAUAAUAUAGUUUAUCACAGAAAAGAUAAACAAUACUAAAGAUAGAUAAAAUGUUGUAAAAUGUUGGCGACUCAAGCGACUAUCUUUCAUCUCUGGAAACAGAGAAACAACGCUUAUCACAACAGCUGUGUGGUUCUUCCUCCUGUGAUCUCGAAAAUGAUUUAUAAGGAUGUCAAGAAUACGAUCUUGGCAAGAUGGAAUAGGAAGCAAUUUCGUACCUUCUUAUCUCUUUGGAUCACUUAAUCUUUGUGUAAUGUUGCUCUAGUUGAUCUACCUUGUUUUUAUUUGUUUUUGCUUAGGUAGAGUAUUUUUUAGAUUCUACUUUGUAAAAUCUGAACAUCAUUAAUAUGAUAUUAGCAUUCUUAGCAAAAAAAUAAAUAAAAUGUUGUACGACGAAGCUUUCAUUUAUAUAUUUGCAUGGCAAGUUUUUUUUUUUGCAUGGCAAGUUUAUUUGGCGGCUGUGGACUUAAUACACAAGUGUUGUGAUUUACUUAUCUUUUGAUGGUCAUUAUAUAUUAUGAACGUGAAGUAAUAGAUCUUUUUCCAUUUUUUUAUGAGGAUUAUCUAAUAUAUAUCUUUUGAUGGUAUAUAUUAGUACUUUUCGGUUUCAUAAAAAAAAAAAUUGUGUUCAUAGUAUUAAGAAGACAUAUUAAAUUUAUAAUAAAUGUAUUAAUUUUUAUAAAUAUAUUUUUUAAUAAAGUUACGAUUUGUUAUCAUUAAAUAAUAUAAAAUUUACAGAAUACACGAAAUUCUAUAUUUGCAAAACAAAAUUUUCCCCAAACUUUUUAGUGGAAUUAACGGAGGUAGUAUCAAUGAAACAAAAUGAUAAAUGGGUGAAACCUAUACUUAGUUCCACCAUUUUCUUCGAGUUCCAACAAUUUUUGUAGUUCCACUUCGAGUUCUAACACUCUUUACUCCAGUUCCAAAUUCGAACAAUCUUCUUAGGCGCAAAACUUACGUAAACAACAGCUUUGGAUAAUUGGCUUCAGUAGUAGGUAUUGUCUCUUUGUAAAAAAAUAUGGGGGACCAUGAUUAGAAUCCACGAAAAUUUCAAUAACAGUUUGUCACUAUACAUGUCUUCAUGUCUUAAAUGACAAGAAAACUGAUCAAUGUGCUUAAUAGAUAAGUCUAGAGUUAAUUUGGUCUGGUUAACAAAAGAAACACGUACGUUAUAUGCAAAUUAGUCUUUAAAGCUAUGUGACAGAAUAUGAACCCUCAAAACAAGGACUAAUAUAUACCAUCCCUUGGAAGAUUUUGGCAUGCAAAAACCAUAGUGGUACAGCAUAUAUCUUAGUAUGUAAUUGUCAUAUAUACUUUUGAAGAUAAGUACUCUUAAGUUUUAUGCCUUUUUAUUGGUGCUUUGAUGGUUGUAAAUAUCAAAGCUAUGUUUACCCAAAUAAUGUUAUAGAGAUUACCGUGGGCGAAGCUUGAUUUGAAGGCUUUGAAAUGAACGUUGAAGUUUCAAAGACAAUUUGAUUUUGGUAAUGUCCGAGAGAAUUAAUAUUGAUUUUGCGUCUUGCGCAUCAAGUAUCUUAAUUAAUUUUAAUUACCUCUUAGUAACUUUCAAGGGAAAUAAAGGACACUAGGAGACGCAUAAUAGUCACAAAAGGACAACAGAAGAAAGUAUUGGCCAAGAAACGUCUUCUUGAACGUAGUAAUCUGUCUUUUAUGUCAACAAUAUUAUGUGUUGCUUGACGUCAUGUACUACAUCAGUUUGGUCUUAUAAAUCUUAUAUAAGCCAACGAUCAGUCGAUCACACACCCACAACACAAGCAAAACAAACUUGAAAGUUGAAAUCACUAUGGCUUCCCAAAACUCUCAACAACUUCAUCCUCCUCUUCACUUUGUUCUCUUCCCUUUCAUGGCUCAGGGCCACAUGAUUCCCAUGGUUGAUAUUGCAAGGCUUCUGGCUCAGCGCGGUGUGACCAUAACAAUUGUCACAACUCCUCACAACGCAGAGAGGUUCAAGAAUGUAUUCGACCGUGCCAUCGAGUCUGGUUUGCCCAUCAACGUAGUGCAUGUGAAGCUUCCAUAUGCAGAAGCUGGGCUGCCAGAAGGAAAAGAGAAUCUCGACUUGCUCGACUCGAUAGAGUUCAGGGUACCUUUCUUUAAAGCAGCUAACAUGCUAGAAGAGCCGGUCCUGAAGCUACUAGAAGAUAUGAAACCUAGACCAAGCUGUCUAGUUUCUUCUUUUUGUUUGCCGUACACAAGUAAAAUCGCCAAGGCGUUCAAUAUACCAAAGAUCGUUUUCCAUGGAUUGUCUUGCUUUUGUCUUUUGUGUAUGCAUGUUUUACGCAACAAUCUUGAGAUCUUGGAGAAUUUAAAGUCUGACAAAGAGUAUUUCUAUGUUCCUAGUUUUCCUGACAGAGUUCAAUUCACAAAGCCUCAGUUCCCUGUGAGCACCAAUGAAAAGGGAGGUUGGACGGACAUCUUGGACGCAAUGAUAGAAGCAGAUAACACAUCUUACGGUGUAAUCACCAACACAUUUCAAGAGCUGGAACCUGCUUAUGUCAAAGAGUACAAAGACGCUAGAGAUGGGAAAGUAUGGUCAAUUGGACCUGUUUCCUUGUGCAACAAGAUAGAAGACAAAGCUGAGAGGGGAAACAAGGCGGUUAUUGGCCAAGAAGAGUGUAUCAAGUGGCUUGAUUCUAAAGAAAAAGGGUCGGUGAUAUAUGUUUGCCUUGGAAGUAUCUGCAAUCUUCCUCUCUCUCAGCUCAAGGAGCUAGGGCUAGGCCUAGAGAAAUCUCAAAGACCUUUCAUCUGGGUCAUUAGAGGUUGGGAAAAGUAUAAUGAGCUCGCUGAGUGGUUAUCAGAGAGCGGUUUUGAAGAAAGGGUCAAAGAGAGAGGGCUUCUCAUAAAAGGAUGGGCACCUCAAGUGCUUAUCCUUUCCCAUUCUUCUGUUGGAGGAUUCUUAACGCAUUGCGGAUGGAACUCAACUCUAGAAGGAAUCACCUCGGGUGUUCCAUUGCUCACAUGGCCAU